rnacentral:SRP_RNA from 1 species
GCCGGGUGCGGUGGCGCGCGCCUGUAAUCCAAGUUACCGGGAGGCUGAGGCUGGCGGAUCGUUUGAGCUCAGGAGCUCUGAGCUGCAGCGGACUAUGUCGAUCGGGUGUCCGCACUAAGUUCGGUAUCGAUAUGGUGCUCCUGGGGGAGCCCGGGACCACCAGGUCGUCUAAGGAGGGGUGCACCGGCCCAGGUCGGAAACGGAGCAGGUCAAAGCCCCCGUGCCGCUCAGUAGUGGGAUCGCGCCUGUGAAUAGACGCUGUAGUGCAGCCUGAGUAACACAGCGGGACCCAGUCUUUU